GUCAAAUCAUCAUGCCCCUUAUGUCCUGGGCUACACACGUGCUACAAUGGAUGGUACAACGGGCUGCGAACUCGCGAGAGUAAGCCAAUCCCUAAAAACCAUUCUCAGUUCGGAUUGCAGGCUGCAAUUCGCCUGCAUGAAGUCGGAGUCGCUAGUAAUCGCGGAUCAGCAAAGCCGCGGUGAAUGCGUUCUCGGGGAUU
rnacentral:rRNA from 1 species